CGGAAACUUGCCGGGCCUCGUGUCGACCCACUGAGGCACUGACCCAGGCCAGGCCCAAUCCGAAUUUCCGUGGUCCCAUAAAGAAACCAAACCGGAUGGGGCCGUCCGGGCCCAUAGAUCCGGCUAAAAAAAGGUUAAAAGAAAAGGGCCCCAUCCGCCACGGCGCCACCGCUGCCUCCCCUUCCCAAUGGCGGAGUUCGCCGGCGACGACCCCUUCGGCAUCGGCUUCGGGUUCGGCUUCGACUUCGAGGACGACGGCAACUACGACCCAUUCGACGACUACGGCGGCGACGGAGAUGAGUGCGAGGGACUAAUCGGCGGCCCCGUCGUCGCCGACGGCGACGGCGAGGAGUUCUGCAUCUCAGGUUUCGCCUUCCGCGACGGAGACGCCGAAGGGGCCGACGUCCUCAUGGGCGAGGACCACACGUCCCAGCUCUCCGACGAGGAUCCCAUUCUCGAAACCCUAGGCCGCUCCUUCGAUUCCGACGAGCGGGAGGCUGUCAUCGAGGAGGCUGCCGACGACGACGACGAUGGGAUCGGGCUUAUGCUGAGCGGAUUCAGCCUCGAUCCGCGGCUGGUCGUUGGAGGCUUCCAGACGCUGGUGGACACCGAUGAGGCGGUCACCAGCGACGACGAUAUGGGCGAGGGGGAAGGGCUCGUGCUGGGCGGGGUCGACCUCGUGGCGCCACGGGUCGUGCGGCCCGGCUGGAUGGUGAUGGGCGCCGCGGACACCGACGACGCCGACUUGAACCUUCUCGAGAUGAUCUCGGGGCACGUUGGGGAAGCCGCGCGGCGGCUGCCGGCGUCCCGCGCAGCGGUGGAGGGUUUACAGGAGGUUGUGCUCAGCGAAGAGGAGGCCUCGCACGGUUGUGCCGUGUGCAAGGAUUGCAUUGCGGCGGGGCUGAGUGUCCUAAGGCUCCCCUGCAAGCACUACUUCCAUGCAGAGUGCAUCAGGCCGUGGCUCGCCAUCAGGAACACUUGCCCCGUGUGCCGGUUUGAGCUCCCCACUGGUAAUGCUGAGUAUGAUCGGCGACAGAGCAGUACCCGUACUGCAUCCAUGGUCCAACAAGGGGCACCAGUGCAGGAGGGGAUAUAAACUUUGCUUACUCUGAUAGCGAAACCGGUGCCAAACUGUAUGCUGAUGUAGUUGGCAAAUCAUGAGUGGAGGCGCGAGCGCCGGCAAUGGAGCCAGAGUGGGUGCAGGAGAUGCAGCUGAAUGUUCAGGAGAAAAUAGACCUGAGCAAGGCGCAACUUGAGGCGGCAGCAGAGGACUGGCUACCGGAUGCUAACUAACUGGAUGCUGAACUGACCAACUGAAGUAGAUGGAACGUGUCACCGGUUCCUGUCAGCGGCACUAAGAAGAUGUUGUGCAGCGUUCAACAUUCACUGAUCACUAACUAUGUUUUUAUGGUAAUGUCAAGAAUUGUUCAGCCUCUGCAGCUUGAUCUGCUCAGUUUUAGUCCAAACUCACUAGCCUUUUCACCUUCUUAAUUUUGCAAAUUGUUUCAAAUCCUCUGAAGUUUUGUUUGGAAUACUGUGUUCCAAUGGGAUCGGUGCUGCCAGGGUCCAGCAGGAUCCGCAGUGCAAGAGAUCAGUUGGAACUCAUGAUUCAUUAAUUGACGUGAAAACAUUUCAAUUACCACAUGAAUGAGAGAGAGCUUACCCAUUA